rnacentral:rRNA from 1 species
CGUGUGAUUCCANAANGUUCCCNCUNAACAGGUCUGACCGUAACCCGGGCUUCGGCCUGGGUGGCAAGUGGCGCAACGGGUGAGUAAUGUAUCGGCAACGUGCCCAGUAGCGGGGGAUAACUACGCGAAAGCGUGGCUAAUACCGCAUACGCCCUACGGGGGAAAGCGGGGGACCUUCGGGCCUCGCACUAUUGGAGCGGCCGAUAUCGGAUUAACUAGUUGGUGGGGUAACGGCCUACCAAGGCGACGAUCCGUAUCUGGUUUGAGAGGACGACCAGCCACACUGGGACUGAGACACGGCCCAGACUCCUACGGGAGGCAGCAGUGGGGAAUUUUGGACAAUGGGGGCAACCCUGAUCCAGCCAUCCCGCGUGUGCGAUGAAGGCCUUCGGGUUGUAAAGCACUUUUGGCAGGAAAGAAACGGCACGGGCUAAUAUCCUGUGCAACUGACGGUACCUGCAGAAUAAGCACCGGCUAACUACGUGCCACCAGCCGCGGUAAUACGUAAGGUGCAAGCGUUAAUCGGAAUUACUGGGCGUAAAGCCGUGCCGCAGGCGGUUCGGAAAGAAAGAUGUGAAAAUCCCCAGGCUUUAACCUUGGAACUGCAUUUUUA